rnacentral:tRNA from 1 species
AUCUGACUAGCUCAGUUGGUAGAGCACGUGAUUCUUGAUCUUAGGGUCAUGAGUUUGAGCCUCAUGUUGGGUG